GGCUUUUCUUUUCUUUGAAGAUUCAAUGUCCGUUUCAACUUCAUUCAAAUAUGGAGUAUUAUAUAUGGUUUCAUUUGAAGCCCCAGUUUCACUUAUCUUACUUUGGGUUUCUGUCAUCUUCUUCAUGAGUUCAGGUCGAUGGAUCGCCGCCUCGGGCAGUUGCAGACUUGCGGUUGUUCUUCAGUCUUCACUCACGCAGGUAGUACUUAGUU
rnacentral:misc_RNA from 1 species